rnacentral:lncRNA from 1 species
GGUGGUGGUGCCAUUAUUAAAAACAGUAGGAAGUUUCUCUGUUGAGUUAGUUUAUUGUGUUGCCAUAUGACUGCAUGCGAGCGCAUGAUGCUCUCAUGCCUUUCCCCCAUGCAGUGAGCAUAAUUAUCAUACUGCACCUACGUCUGGGCUCUCCACCAUCACAUGGACCCCAGAGAGAGCGAGAGAGAGAGAUGGCUAUCUGGCUUUCCAAGGAGGUGGUUUCAAGGCAGGGCCAUAGGGUUAUAAUUUGUUGUGGGUCACCGCUUUCGUAGUCAGUAAGUUUACGCA